rnacentral:sRNA from 1 species
GCCAGGCAUGGUGGUGCAUGCCUGCAAUCCCAGUGACUUGGGAGGCUGAGGCAAGAGGAUUGCAAGUUUGAGGCCAGCAUCAGCAACUUAGUGAGGCUGUAAGCAACAGAGCAAGACCCUGUCUCAA